rnacentral:rRNA from 1 species
GACGUAGGAUCCGAGCGUUGUCCGGAGUUACUGGGCGUAAAGCGCGCGCAGGCGGACACGCGCAUCGGCGGUGAAAGCCCCCCGCUCAACGGGGGAGGGUCCGUCGAGAUGGCGUGUCUGGAGGCAGGGAGAGGCCAGUGGAAUUCCGGGUGUAGUGGUGAAAUGCGUAGAGAUCUGGAGGAACACCGGUGGCGAAAGCGCCUUGCUGGGUCUGCACUGACACUGAGGGACGAAAGCUAGGGGAGCGAAAGGG